CGAUUGUAGUCAUAUGCUUGUCUCAAAGAUUAAGCCAUGCAUGUCUAAGUAUAAGCAAUCUAUACUGUGAAACUGCGAAUGGCUCAUUAAAUCAGUUAUCGUUUAUUUGAUAGUACCUUACUACUUGGAUAACCGUGGUAAUUCUAGAGCUAAUACAUGCUAAAAACCCCGACUUUUGGAGGGGUGUAUUUAUUAGAUAAAAAACCAAUGCCCUUCGGGGCUCCUUGGUGAUUCAUAAUAACUUAACGAAUCGCAUAGCCUUGUGCUGGCGAUGGUUCAUUCAAAUUUCUGCCCUAUCAACUUUCGAUGGUUAGGUCUUGGCUAACCAUGGUUUCAACGGGUAACGGGGAAUUAGGGUUCUAUUCCGGAGAGUGAGCCUGAGAAACGGCUAACACAUCCAAGGAAGGCAGCAGGCGCGCAAAUUACCCAAUCCCGACACGGGGAGGUAGUGACAAUAAAUACUGAUCCAGGGCUCUUUUGGGUCUUGGAAUUGGAAUGAGUACAAUUUAAAUCCCUUAACGAGGAACAAUUGGAGGGCAAGUCUGGA
rnacentral:rRNA from 1 species